GCAGCCCGUCAGCUGUGAGCUUCGAUCGUCUCGAUGCGCUUGGACUCCCGCAGUUCCCACACCUUCGCGCUUUUAUACCACGAUCGGGCCGUGGAAAGUGUGGGACCUGGUGGAGUCCAAGUGCAUCGAGACGGUCGGAAGCUCACAGCUGAGGCCGU
rnacentral:pre_miRNA from 1 species